GCUGUAGCUCAAAGGUAGAGCAUCUGCUUUCCACGCAGAAGUUUCCAGGUUCACACCCUGCCAUCUCUA